CAUGAAUUAACAAAAACAUGAGAAUGCAAGUAACCACAAACAAAAUAGCAGACUUCAUGAAUCUUCUGAUGUGAAUUAUAAUUAAUCCUCUUACUUAGAUUAUUCUUAGGGUAAGGCGUAUGUAUAUAUACUCAGAAAAACAAACAAAAAAAGCUGUGUUAGUUCGUGUUUACGUAUAGAAAUAUCACAAAAUAAACUUUCUCGGAAAAAUUACGUGUUUGGUAUAAAACCCAUAAGGGUCGUUGUGUACGCAUCAAACAUAUAAAAGUUGUGCGUUUAUGUGUUUACGUGUAAAACAGUCACGAAGCAAUCAAUGCAUUUACGCGUGAGGUAAUAAUAAACAAAGGAAAGUUUUAUUUUUUUUGUGUGCGUUAAGAACACAUAACGUACACGUAAUCAAAUAAAAAUUAUGUGUUUAUCAGUUAAACAAGACUUGUUGUGAUAGCUAAAUUUUCCAUGUGUUAGCUCGAUCCUUGCACCAACCACGAACAAAGCAUUGGUUAAUUGGCAGUCUGUGAGUUGUGCCCCAUCUCAAAGGAUGUCAUGGACAAGAUAUUUUACUCGUCUUAUCUGGUGAUUUAAAGUUGGUAUUGCAACUCGGAUUGGGCCUCAUGUCCUUUGACGAGAUCCAAGUCUCCAACCAUGGCAGUGACAACUUCGAAGUUCAAAUGGGACAAUGAGGAAGGCACUUAUAUCUUGUUUCAGCAUUCUCCAUUGCGAACCAGUGUAAUUGUUUUAUGUCAUUCAGUCAGCGCUUGUAUGUGGUGUACCCCGAUUUUUCAUGGAAUACCAACAAACACAUUGAUGUAGAAUAUUACUUUUUCGUGAUAAAAUUCGUUACAGCUUUUCAUAUUGCAGCUAACCAUCUUUUUCAUGAA